rnacentral:lncRNA from 1 species
UUAUGUAAUUUGUGUGUGCUAUCCAUACAAUAGGGGAUCUAUUUUGUCUUUUCACGAUGAUGACAUAAACGGGAUCGCGCGAUGAAACCAUAGAAAUAACCAUUCGAGUGUAUCUGUGAUUUUGUGUGUGUGUUUGAUUACGUUUUGAGAUUAUGAACGAUAUUUGAGUGUUUCUGUGAUUACGUUUUGAGAUUAUGAACGAUAUUUGAGUGUUUCUGUGAUUUUGUUUUAAAAUGACGAUUGAUAUUCGAGUGUAUUUAUGACUUUCGAGAGUAUGAAAAUAUACAUU